GAUGAAGAACGUAGCGAAAUGCGAUAAGUAAUGUGAAUUGCAGAAUUCAGUGAAUCAUCGAAUCUUUGAACGCACAUUGCGACCGCUAGUAUUCUGGCGGGCAUGCCUGUCCGAGCGUCAUUUCAACCCUCAAGCCCCCGGGCUUGGUGUUGGGGAUCGGCGAGCCUCCGCGCCCGCCGUCCCCUAAAUCUAGUGGCGGUCUCGCUGUAGCUUCCUCUGCGUAGUAGCACACCUCGCACUGGGAAACAGCGCGGCCACGCCGUUAAACCCCCAACUUCUGAACGUUUGACCUCGGAUCAGGUAGGAAUACCCGCUGAACUUAAGCAUAUCAAUAAGCGGAGGA
rnacentral:misc_RNA from 1 species